UUGGACACUGAGUUUAAACCUCUUGAUGCAACACAGAAAAAGAAAAAUGUAGGAACUUGUGUUGGGGGUGGGCUCAUGCUUAGCUGACUGGCUGUAAGGUGAUUUUUUUUUUUUUUUUUUUUUUUUUAAAGGCGGAGGUGCCAUAAAAUGUCUGUUUGUAAAUGGAUGACAACCCGAGGCACUUUGACAUUUUGCACCAUCACAGUAGAACUGGUCCCUGAAAGCAGCAUCGCAGCAAAACUCUUAAGUCCAGGCUUCCUUUUUUUUUUUUAAAUAAUAGACACCCAAGCAGAGGCUCACCCGGGAGCGGAUUUCACAAUAGAUUACCACAUUGUUACCAGACGCCAGCAGUUACAGUACGUUCCUGGCUGGCGGAGGUUGGUGGAGGUCUGGUGGAGGUCUGGUGGAGGUGUGCGCCUCAGCAGUGUGGUUGUGACAUAUCCCACAGAGGGCACGGCAGCGGUGUUACCACACGCAGACGAGGCAUCAGUAUGUCAGGUUUUCCUCCAGCAGGUCAGUGGCUGAAGAGUUUGGGGCAGAAGAUAAGAAGUCAGCUUGUCUUUCUUGUCAGGCUUCAAACCUGCCACACAUGUGGUUAAGAGACAUCGUGGCCCUCAAAGGGUGAUAAAGAAAUCACCUUUUAGAAACCUGGAGGUGAUUUCUUCAGGGUUACUUCAGGACUACAGACCUUCCUUUGUGUUUUUUUAAGGACUUAAUGAAUGAGUCAGAUUCAUAAACAGUGGAAAUGCUGAUACACUUUAUUACAUUUUGAGAUGCUAUAGGUAAAAGCAACUUGUUAAUUCGUUUCACUUUAAAAAAAGUUCAGUUACAGCAAGUUCCAGCGCACACACACACACACACACGUGUUGGAUCAUGAUUGGUAGAUUGCAUACAAGCCCUGGAUUAAAGAAAAUUAAAAACGUUAACACUUGAUGUUUUUUUCCCCCCCGAUGUAGACAGCACUCGAUUCCAACGUAACGUCUGACGCACAACAUCCACAAAUACACAAAGACGCAUCCUGAUCAAUUUUCUACACUUCUCUUCAUUUGUCGACAUGUCCACAGGGUGGCGCUCUCACCAAAGAAUAAAUUAAGAGUCCCAUCUUGGCGGGUGUGGCAGCUCUGCUACAACCACAACAACUCUAUGAGCUUUCCCCAUUUCCAAGUCCCUGAAAAAAUUACAAACGUAUGGCACAAAUCUCAUCUGGUCAACAGCAAUAAGCACAUAUUAUAGUUCAAUAACACCGGCGGGUUUAUCCUCGUCAACGAACAUAUUUCACUCUGCUAAUUUUCUCUGGACAUGGAGGGAAUCAUUUUGGAAGCACUUCAGGAUCUUCUAUUACAACAUGAGAACCUGAAAGCAGCGCUGGAUGUUCACUAAAGUGAAGUGACUCACUUCAUGGCCAAAAUUAAUAUUUUCCUUAAACUCAAAAGUCUGAAUGUGCUUUUCAUUUUCCUUUAUCAUUCUCAUUCAAUAUGAACAGAAAGUAUUGUAUCUUAGAAGAGUAAACACACUGAAAUAGGUCCCUUUGAACAGUGAUUUAUAAUUUACAUCCUGUGAUCAUGUGACUGCUUUCCCUCCAUCCAAAUGCACGACUAUUGUGGGAAUGUUUGCUUUUUCUGCAGGCAGGAAGUAAUGUCUGCCUUCAAGUUUGAGACAGAGAGAAGAGGACUGGAAGUGACAGCAGGAAAGCUUGAGGGAGCGGAAAAUGAACAGAACAAUCUGAGGAAAAAUCAAUAAAAUAUUGUAUAAAAAAUAAAAUAUAAGGCUCCCUUUUCUGAGCAAAGAUAACGAGCAGGACACAAGAUAACUGGACUGAAGAGAGGAUUUUGUAUUUUCCACAAUGGGGAACAUGAUUUGGUAACACAAGUUAAAAAAACAAAACAGAACAAAAAAAAAACAGGAUAUUUACAAUCAAAUAAAACUAAAACAUUUUUCAACCGCACUAUGUCUGUGCGUUAAGCACAAGCAUGAACACAGACAAGCAAUGUACAUGCAUUUCAUUUUGGUACUGGUUCUUUUAUGGUCCAGUUUUGGUUUGUAAAUGACAAGCCGAUAUGAAAUUGUGACAGAAAAGUGAUACAUAGUACAGUAGUAUAUAAGCUUCAUUCACAAAAAGAAGACUAUUUGCUUUUUGUGGCUUUAGCCCUUUCUGACGAUAAAGAGGGAGCCAGAUCAUUUACAGCUGAAAUGCAUGUACACAGUUGUAUACUUUCAGUAAGCAUGCACAUAGAAACAAUGAGUCUUACACAGAAUAUCAUCCAUCUGCUUUCAGUUUGAGGGUGAUGGGGUUAGAAAAGAAAAGAGAAGAAAAGAAAGUGCCACGCACAAGCAGAGAAAACAAGCAGCCAAUUAAAUGUCCAAUGGAUCAUCACAAAGCUCCACCUCCCUCUGCAUGGGAACAAGGUUGCAAACACGUCAGAGCCAAAACCACCAGCAUCUUGAUAAAGGCUUAUUUUAUAUGUUUUGUGUGAAUACAGCAACAGAAAUGUUUCCCCCCCCCAGAGUCGAACACUGUGUGGAACGGGCCUGUGUGGCCUCGUUGCACGACGCGACAACAGAACAGAACUGCAGCAGGGGUGUACAAAGCAGCUGCCAUGUUGGUACCUAAGACACUGUAGCAGCCAUGUUGGCGCAGACAGGCACGUCCCAUGAAGAGUCAUGAGGAAAUUGGAGAUUGCAUGGUUAUAUCCAGCGGAGGCCUUGAGCCCUUGUGACGGCGUGGUCCACCGAGGGGACGAACAUCGGCACACGACGACCACAGCAGGUUAGGAGGCGGUUCCUUGAUUUCAACAGCUGAGAAUCAGGGGAGUUUAUGUCACAAGGUGCAGAUUUUAGCUUGUCUUGAUGUUGAGUCAGUUAAAAAGAAAUAACAAUUUGAAAUCACUAUAAAAAAAAAGGAUGAUGAUGAUGAUGAUGAUGAUGAUAAUGAUGAGGAGGAGGAGGAGGAGGAGGAUGAUGACGAUUACUGUGGUUCCAGCACUCAGAGACCCACUUCUUUAACUCUGGGCCCAACUUUGGAGGGUAUUAAAAAAAAAAAAAAAA